GAAUCCGUAUGAAUACUUG
rnacentral:miRNA from 1 species